rnacentral:lncRNA from 1 species
GGUCUCGUUGAGUGAAACAAAUCUCAAGGACAUUUCUACAUAGCACUGAAUCUUGAUAGAUACAGACAUGCACAGCAACAAACUUUAAUUUGGUUCUUGUCUUCCUCUUGCCAUCCUGCUGAUCAACUACCUUUUGGUUCUUCCAUGCUCUGUCAAUGUAUAAGAUAAUAAUUUCAGUACAGGCAUAUCUAGCAGAAUAAAUGGUUCGAGUUUCAAUCUAGAUUUGCAAACAGGGAAGGGGGAACGAGGCGGGGGCGACCACCGCACCCGGCACCAUUGGCGGCAAGGCUCCCAGGGGAAAGUGGUGCGGGUGCGUCGUGCUGUCAGGUGGUGGCGAGAAUGGCAUGACCAGCGGCUGGAUUUUGGGUGCGUUGGAGGAGAUAAGGAGUGAAACAGGGAAGCGGGGAAGGAGACGCCUGUUGCAUUAAGAUUCGGACGGACAAUUGGCGAGUGCUGGAGUGGGUCUCACGAUCGGGUCCGUACGACUCAGUCGUAUAGGAUUUUUUUCCACAUGGGACUGCUAUGGACAAUGAUGGAACAUUUAUGGUGACACAGUUUUCAGAAAUCUUUUUCAUUGUCAUAGUGGAUCUUAGGGAAAAUGGACUUUCAAUCAACUUCAUAGUGGAUCUUAGGGAAAAAAUUCCUAUGCCACUAAUUAAAAAUCCUAUUAUACAACACCGACAAGUGCGACCAUAUUUUCAGCAAAACAAUAUUACUAAUUCUUUUGGUUGCAAUGAAGCACCAACCUGGCUCGAGUACAUUUGAACAAUAACAUUGUCGGCUAUUUACAUACCUAUAAAAUUACAUACUCGUAUAUCAAGCUUUCAAAGUAUAAGUAUUUUUCAGGUCUGGACAGAUUCAAGCGACUGAAAGAAUAUUAUCCUUUUUAGUUAAAAUUAAAUAGCUUAAUCUUCUAUCUGAUUUACAUGGGCCUUAGGGUAUAGAACAGACUUACAGUUGGAUAGUAAUUCGUGAAAACAGAGUAACCAGUGAAAAUCAAAUCCAUUACUGCAUCAAGGUACUUUUUCACAUGAUCAUGCCAUAAAGGCAUUCCAGAUUUGCAGAAGAAAGGUAGGAAACUCCUACAAAGCAGCAAACAAAACACCCAGAUCCAGAGCAGCUGGGAACGAAUAAAUUCAGAAAUAGAUAAUUAGUAAACAUUGAGAUUGCACGUGUUCUAUUGCUACCUGCCUUCUCUUGUUAAGUAACUCAUUCAAAGACAGAUAGUAGCUCACUGAUUAGUAGGUGGUGGUGUUCUAGAUGCUCGUCCCUUCUCACCUUGGGCUCUCUGAAUAAGUGAUUAUGUAUUACCAAAUCCAGUGAUGCCUAGCUCCAUGAAGAUCAUACCUGUACCA